rnacentral:rRNA from 1 species
UGCAAGUCGAACGGAACGAUGGAAGCUUGCUUCCAGGCGUCGAGUGGCGGACGGGUGAGUAAUACAUAGGAAUCUGCCCAGUAGUGGGGGACAACCUGGGGAAACUCAGGCUAAUACCGCAUGAGCCCUUCGGGGGAAAGCGGGGGAUCCUCGGACCUCGCGCUAUUGGAUGAGCCUAUGUCUGAUUAGCUUGUUGGUGGGGUAACGGCCUACCAAGGCGACGAUCAGUAGCUGGUCUGAGAGGACGAUCAGCCACACUGGGACUGAGACACGGCCCAGACUCCUACGGGAGGCAGCAGUGGGGAAUAUUGGACAAUGGGGGCAACCCUGAUCCAGCAAUGCCGCGUGUGUGAAGAAGGCCUGCGGGUUGUAAAGCACUUUCAGCAGCCAAGAAAAGCCUGGGGUUAAUACCUCCGGGUCUUGACGUCAACUGCAGAAGAAGCACCGGCUAACUCUGUGCCAGCAGCCGCGGUAAUACG